rnacentral:rRNA from 1 species
UGGGGAAUAUUGCACAAUGGGCGAAAGCCUGAUGCAGCGACGCCGCGUGAGGGAUGGAGGCCUUCGGGUUGUAAACCUCUUUCAGUAAGGGUGAAGGCUCUCUUUUGUGGAGGGUUGACAGUACUUGCAGAAGAAGCGCCGGCUAACUACGUGCCAGCAGCCGCGGUAAUACGUAGGUCCCGAGCGUUGUCCGGAUUUAUUGGGCGUAAAGCGAGCGCAGGCGGUUAGAAAAGUCUGAAGUGAAAGGCAGUGGCUCAACCAUUGUAGGCUUUGGAAACUGUUUAACUUGAGUGCAGAAGGGGAGAGUGGAAUUCCAUGUGUAGCGGUGAAAUGCGUAGAUAUAUGGAGGAACACCGGUGGCGAAAGCGGCUCUCUGGUCUGUAACUGACGCUGAGGCUCGAAAGCGUGGGGAGCGAACAGG